CACCCAAGAUGUCACAAAGGACUCUGGUGGAGGCUGGCCAUGGUUGAAGACAAUGGUUGGAGAAAAGGAAGCUCUGUCAUGUCCAGGGCUCAGCUACAACGUCACUUCCUCAGACAAGCUACUCUAACUUCCUGGCUGGUCAUUCAUCCAUCAUGGAAUUCACCUGAACAAUUACGCUGGCAAAGAGGAAUGGGAUGACCACAAGAUGGCUUAGAAUCUCUGCCUCAGAGUAACCAUGACUCACCUCUGGCACUGGGCACACCCUCCCUAAAUCUGUGAUUCCAUCUGGAUCCCAAACAAAUUGGGGUUCUGUUCCCGAGGGGAAAAGCAGAUGACUGUUGUGUAGACAGUCGACAGUGUCCACCACAUUGCCAUACGCUGCACUUCCCAACCCACCAUCACUUGCAGAGGAGGAAGGGGGCUAUUAGACGUUUCUGGAAGGUGAUGGCAGGAGCAAGAGUGAGAAGGAAGUCGCCAUGCCUGGGCACUGGUCCCAGACUGGCCUGACAAGAUGGGAGGUUGGGUGAUACAUGAUGAAGCCUCACUAUUGGACAGCUUGUUUUUAAUACAGGUAACUGCAGGUCAAAUCAUGACCUCUGGGGCACACACAUACCAAACACAUAAAUAAAUAAAUACACAGGAAAACCUCCCAGCUUA